rnacentral:tRNA from 4 species
GGAGAGGUGCCCGAGUGGUUGAAGGGAACCGUCUUGAAAACGGUCGUGGGGCAACCCACCGUGGGUUCGAAUCCCACCCUCUCCGCCA